rnacentral:rRNA from 1 species
AGAGGAAGUAAAAGUCGUAACAAGGUCUCCGUUGGUGAACCAGCGGAGGGAUCAUUACCGAGUCUACAACUCCCAAACCCCUUGUGAACCUUACCAUUCUGUUGCUUCGGCGGGACUGCCCCAGGGCUGCCCUGGAACCAGGCACCCGCCGGGGGACCCAAGCUCUUAUGUUUUUCUUCAGCGGAUUUAUCUGAGUGGCUUCGAGCAGAAAAUGAAUCAAAACUUUCAACAACGGAUCUCUUGGUUCUGGCAUCGAUGAAGAACGCAGCGAAAUGCGAUAAGUAAUGUGAAUUGCAGAUUUCAGUGAAUCAUCGAAUCUUUGAACGCACAUUGCGCCCGCUAGUACUCUGGCGGGCAUGCCUGUCCGAGCGUCAUUUCAACCCUCAAGCCCCGGGGCCCCGGGGCUUGGUGUUGGGGACCGGCCCUGCCCUGUCGCAGGUCGCCGCCCCCGAAAUACAGUGGCAGUCUCGCUGCAGCUUCCUCUGCGUAGUACCCCAAACCUCGCACUGGAGCGCGGCGCGGCCACGCCGUUAAACCCCCCGCUUUGCAAAAGGUUGACCUCGGAUCAGGUAGGGAUACCCGCUGAACUUAAGCAUAUCAAUAG